UGACCAACCUGCCCCUUGCUCUGGGAUAACCCCGGGAAACCGGAGCUAAUACCGGAUACGAGACCGUGCGGCAUCACGCGGUCUGGAAAGUUUUUCGGCAAGGGAUGGGGUCGCGGCCUAUCAGCUUGUUGGUGGGGUAAUGGCCCACCAAGGCGACGACGGGUAGCCGGCCUGAGAGGGCGACCGGCCACACUGGGACUGAGACACGGCCCAGACUCCUACGGGAGCA
rnacentral:rRNA from 1 species